GAUGAGGUGGCCGAGUGGUUAAGGUGAUGGAACUGCUAAUCCAUUGUGCUCUGCACGCAUGGGUUCGAAUCCCAUCCUCAUCG